UCUUAUGGAUGAGUAAAAGAAAGUGGUUUCUUGGAUGGAAUCUGUUCCUGGUGAAGAUGCUGUGAA
rnacentral:pre_miRNA from 1 species